UGUGUGGUUGUGCAUGAAUGUGCGAUUGUGCAUGAAUGUGAUUGUGCAUGAAUGUGUGAUUGUGCAUGAGUGUGAUUGUGCAUGAAUGUGUGAUUGUGCAUAAAUGUGUGAUUGUGCAUGAAUGUGUGAGUGCGCCGACACGAGGAAGAGGAGGAGGAAAGUCGACGUUUGGGAGUUUUGAGCUCUGAAGCUGGAAAGUGAGCGGGAGCGACACAAGUGUGGCCUUCUAGAAGGACGUCCGUGCUGACGUCAGCGUGUCACGUCCACUGGAAUCAAGCGUGGACACAAAGUGGGACGACGUCAACAAACAGCAGAGAGAAGUCAACUCACCCAAGAACCACUUCUCCAUGGCCGCCCGCAGGUCCAGAGGUCCUGUGCCAGCGAACAGGUUCUCUCCAGUGUCCUCCAGGUCCGGGUUGUGGUUCCAGAUGCACUUGGCGGCGUAGCCCUCAGCCAGCACCUUCAGGUUGGGGUCCCAUUUCUGAGAGGUCAGUGGAAAAUGGCGUGAGUCACGGGCUACCCAGCAUGCCGUGCGAGGCUUUGUGGAUAGUUUGUGAGCAGAGGAGGUUAAUAACUCGGGGUGGGAACUUCAAGAUUUCAUCUGAUUCCCAGUCCUGGGGUGAUGAUCCAAAUCAGAACUGAUUCCCAAGUCAAACUGAUUCUCGCAAUACUGGUUUUAUAAUUAUAAUGUUAUAAUAAUGUUUUUUUGAAACAAGUUGGUGGUUAGAAAAGCUCCUUCUGGUUUCAUGGAGAUAAUCUGUAAAAUAUGGAUUCUUAUAACAAAAAAUGUGACCUUGACUUUGACACCUGUGACUUGGAGAAACACAAAGACUGAGAUUGGGUGGUUUACUAGGACCCUGGGAUCGGCCUCGCCGCUCGGGUGCAGCACAGAGAAGCUUACAAAAGCUGAACAGGGGUGAACCAAAGUGUCAGGUUCAAACACCGAUGAUGUCUAUUAAACGAGACAAGAAGCAAG